CCUACGGGAGGCAGCAGUGAGGAAUAUUGGUCAAUGGGCGAGAGCCUGAACCAGCAAAGCCGCGUGAAGGAUGAAGGAUCUAUGGUUUGUAAACUUCUUUUAUAUGGGAAUAAAGUGAGGAACGUGUUCCUUUUUGUAUGUACCAUAUGAAUAAGCAUCGGCUAACUCCGUGCCAGCAGCCGCGGUAAUACGGAGGAUGCGAGCGUUAUCCGGAUUUAUUGGGUUUAAAGGGUGCGUAGGUGGUUAAUUAAGUCAGCGGUGAAAGUUUGUGGCUCAACCAUAAAAUUGCCGUUGAAACUGGUUGACUUGAGUAUAUGUGAGGUAGGCGGAAUGCGUGGUGUAGCGGUGAAAUGCAUAGAUAUCACGCAGAACUCCGAUGGCGAAGGCAGCUUACUAGACUAUAACUGACGCUGAGGCACGAAAGCGUGGGGAGCAAACAGGAUUAGAUACCCCUGUAGUC
rnacentral:rRNA from 1 species